UACGAAGGGGACUAGCGUUGUUCGGAAUCAUUGGGCGUAAAGCGCGUGUAGGCGGUUCGGUAAGUCCGCUGUGAAAGUCGGGGGCUCAACCCUCGAAAGCCGGUGGAUACUGUCGGGCUAGAGUACGGAAGAGGCGAGUGGAAUUCCUGGUGUAGCGGUGAAAUGCGCAGAUAUCAGGAGGAACACCAAUUGCGAAGGCAGCUCGCUGGGACGUUACUGACGCUGAGACGCGAAAGCGUGGGUAGCAAACAGG
rnacentral:rRNA from 1 species